rnacentral:rRNA from 1 species
UACGUAGGUGGGCAAGCGUUGUCCGGAUUUAUUGGGUUAAAGGGUGCGUAGGCGGUUCUAUAAGUCAGUGGUGAAAUCCGGCAGCUCAACUGUCGAUGUGCCAUUGAUACUGCAGAACUUGAGUACAGACGAGGUAGGCGGAAUUGACGGUGUAGCGGUGAAAUGCUUAGAUAUCGUCAAGAACACCGAUAGCGAAGGCAGCUUACUAGACUGUAACUGACGCUGAUGCACGAAAGUGUGGGGAUCAAACAGG